AUGAACGCUGGCGGCGUGCCUAAUACAUGCAAGUCGAGCGAACGGACGAGAAGCUUGCUUUUCUGAUGUUAGCGGCGGACGGGUGAGUAACACGUGGAUAACCUACCUAUAAGACUGGGAUAACUUCGGGAAACCGGAGCUAAUACCGGAUAAUAAUUUGAACCGCAUGGUUCAAAAGUGAAAGACGGUCUUGCUGUCACUUAUAGAUGGAUCCGCGCUGCAUUAGCUAGUUGGUAAGGUAACGGCUUACCAAGGCAACGAUGCAUAGCCGACCUGAGAGGGUGAUCGGCCACACUGGAACUGAGACACGGUCCAGACUCCUACGGGAGGCAGCAGUAGGGAAUCUUCCGCAAUGGGCGAAAGCCUGACGGAGCAACGCCGCGUGAGUGAUGAAGGUCUUCGGAUCGUAAAACUCUGUUAUUAGGGAAGAACAUAUGUGUAAGUAACUGUGCACAUCUUGACGGUACCUAAUCAGAAAGCCACGGCUAACUACGUG
rnacentral:rRNA from 1 species